GCCCGGUGUGGUGGCGCAUGCCUGUAAUCCCAGCAGCUGGGGAGGCUGAGGCAGGAGGAUCAUGAGUUUGAAGCCAGCCUCAGCAACUGUGAGGUUCUAAGCAACUCAGUGAGACCCUGUCUUUA
rnacentral:sRNA from 1 species